rnacentral:rRNA from 1 species
GACGAACGCUGGCGGCGUGCUUAACACAUGCAAGUCGAACGGAAAGGCCCUGCUUUUGUGGGGUGCUCGAGUGGCGAACGGGUGAGUAACACGUGAGUAACCUGCCCUUGACUUUGGGAUAACUUCAGGAAACUGGGGCUAAUACCGGAUAGGAGCUCCUGCUGCAUGGUGGGGGUUGGAAAGUUUCGGCGGUGGGGGAUGGACUCGCGGCUUAUCAGCUUGUUGGUGGGGUAGUGGCUUACCAAGGCUUUGACGGGUAGCCGGCCUGAGAGGGUGACCGGCCACAUUGGGACUGAGAUACGGCCCAGACUCCUACGGGAGGCAGCAGUGGGGAAUAUUGCACAAUGGGCGGAAGCCUGAUGCAGCAACGCCGCGUGCGGGAUGACGGCCUUCGGGUGGUAAACCGCUUUCGCCUGUGACGAAGCGUGAGUGACGGUAAUGGGUAAAGAAGCACCGGCUAACUACGUG